ACACGAACCGUCCAAACGUUAUUCGGAAUUACUGGGCUUAAAGGGUGCGUAGGCGGUGCGGUAAGUUGGGUGUGAAAUCCCUCGGCUCAACCGGGGAACUGCGCUCAAUACUGCCGUACUUGAGGGAGACAGAGGUAAGCGGAACUGAUGGUGGAGCGGUGAAAUGCGUUGAUAUCAUCAGGAACACCAGUAGCGAAAGCGGCUUACUGGGUCUCUUCUGACGCUGAGGCACGAAAGCUAGGGUAGCGAACGGGAUUAGAAACCCCUGUAGUCC
rnacentral:rRNA from 1 species